rnacentral:rRNA from 1 species
GCCCUUCAGCCCUAACACAUGCAAGUCGAACGAGAAGCCACCUUCGGGUGGUGGACAGUGGCAGACGGGUGAGUAACGCGUGGGAACGUGCCUUUCGGUUCGGGAUAACCCAGGGAAACUUGGGCUAAUACCGGAUACGCCCUCCGGGGGAAAGAUUCAUUGCCGAAGAGGGGCCCGCGUCUGAUUAGCUAGUUGGUGAGGUAACGGCCCACCAAGGCGACGAUCAGUAUCCGGCCUGAGAGGGCGGACGGACACACUGGGACUGAGACACGGCCCAGACUCCUACGGGAGGCAGCAGUGGGGAAUUGUUCGCAAUGGGCGCAAGCCUGACGACGCGACGCCGCGUGGAGGAUGAAGGUCUUCGGAUUGUAAACUCCUGUUGCCCGGGACGAAAAGCUUCGACCUAACACGUCGAGGUCUGACGGUACCGGGUGAGGAAGCCCCGGCUAACUCUGUGCCAGCAGCCGCGGUAAU